rnacentral:rRNA from 1 species
GGUGAACGCUGGCGGCGUGCAUAACACAUUCAAGUCGAACGGUGAACCCUUCGGGGGAUCAGUGGCGGACGGGUGAGUAACGCGUGAGCAACCUGCCCUUGUGUGGGGGACAACAGUUGGAAACGACUGCUAAUACCGCAUAACGCAUCGGGAACGCAUGUUUUUGAUGCCAAAGAUUUAUUGCGCAAGGAUGGGCUCGCGUUGGAUUAGAUAGUUGGUGAGGUAACGGCCCACCAAGUCGACGAUCCGUAGCCGGACUGAGAGGUUGAACGGCCACAUUGGAACUGAGAAACGGUCCAG